rnacentral:rRNA from 1 species
GACAGAGGGUGCAAACGUUGUUCGGAAUUACUGGGCGUAAAGCGCGUGUAGGCGGCUAUGCAAGUCGGAUGUGAAAUCCCGCGGCUCAACCGUGGAAGUGCAUCCGAAACUGCGUGGCUAGAGUCCCGGAGAGGAAGGUGGAAUACUUGGUGUAGAGGCGAAAUUCGUAGAUAUCGAGUGGAACACCGGUGGCGAAGGCGGCCUUCUGGACGGUGACUGACGCUGAGACGCGAAAGCGUGGGUAGCAAACAGGAUUAGAUACCCUGGUA